UGACCUCAGAUCAGACAAGGAUACCCGCUGAACUUAAGCAUAUCAAUA
rnacentral:rRNA from 1 species